GGAUGAGACGCUGAACAUGUGACGAGAAUGAACGUCAAAUGCCAACUUGUGCUGCCACCGGACAGUAAAAAAAGUUGGAACCAACAUGCAGUAACUCCAGCAGGAAGAAAGACAAUACGUUUUAGCUCAGGCUAACACGGUCAAGAGACACACUAUCCGGGUUGAUAUUCAGCAUAGUAGUGGUGCCAGUGGUAACUACUCACCCUCAACAUGGAUGACCCCCACAAGGUCUACUGUUGGGUUUUCCCUUUCUUCCUGUUCUCCUAUCUUCCCCUGCUCUGGCGGAUGGACACCACCUCCAGGGCGAGAGAUGAACCACUGAACCUACCAGAACAAUGAUACACUCACCUUCAACCUGCCAGCUGUGUGUGUGUGUGUGUGUGUGUGUGUGUGUGUGUGUGUGUGUGUGUGUGUGUGUGUGUGUGUGUGUGUGUGUGUGUGUGUGUACAUCACUGAGCUGUGCUUAACUUGCUUGAAGGUAACUUUGCUAAAUUGACGUUAUAUCCUUUAAAUGACACACAAUUACAAUAGACACAAGUUAUUGUCCCCCAUGUAAACCAACCAGUGACGCCAAGAGCUUUUAUUUUUACCUAGAAAAUACAUUUCACUGUAUGUGUAGGCCGUCAUUGUAAAUAAUCAUUUGUUCUUAACUGACUUGCCUAGUUAAAUAAAGGUUAAAUAAAAAUCUAAAAUACAAAUUAAUAAAGUAAAAUCAACUUGCAGUAAUUAAAAUUUACCAGCAGAGGGAGGCAGACUCUCUUGCAAGUUUAGAUCCCUGACUGUCAUUGUCCACUUCCUCCUUUCAUAUUGGUCUAAUGGUAUUAUUCCAGAACCUGUUCAGCACUUUGAGCAUGUCUUGUCAGGGUUUCCUUACAAUGGAAUGGGCGGCAGGUAGCCUAGCAGUUAAGCAAGUUGGGCCAUUAACCAAAAGGUCUCUGGUUUGAAUCCCCAAACUGACUAGGUGAUUUUAUUUUUGUCAAUGUGCCCUUGAGCUAGGCACUUAAUCCUAAUUGCUUCUGUAAGUCUCGCUGGAUAAGCGUGUGAUGUAAAUAAGUGUAUGCAUCCCUAUUCUUCUCCUCUGUCGUCCUAUUCAAACUGAUCCCGGUAAUCCUUCUUUACGAGACGCUCGUUUGCAUAAUCUGAAUCAGGCAAGGGCUACAGCUGCUUCUCAUUGGCCAUUUAACAGCGAGGAGCACUCGCUAAGAAGCAUAACCACUACUCUGACAUCACAACACUGAGCAGGUACAGUGCCUUCAGAAUGAAUUCGCACCCCUUUUCCACAUUUUGUCGUGUUACAGCCUGAAUUUGAAAUGGAUUACAUUGAGAUGUUGUGUCACUGAUCCACACA